AUUGAACGCUGGCGGCAUGCUUUACACAUGCAAGUCGAACGGCAGCACGGGGGCAACCCUGGUGGCGAGUGGCGAACGGGUGAGUAAUGUAUCGGAACGUGCCCAGUCGUGGGGGAUAACGCAGCGAAAGUUGUGCUAAUACCGCAUACGACCUACGGAUGAAAGCGGGGGACUCGCAAGAGCCUCGCGCGAUUGGAGCGGCUGAUACCAGAUUAGCUAGUUGGUGGGGUAAAAGCCUACCAAGGCAACGAUCUGUAGCUGGGCUGAGAGGACGACCAGCCACACUGGGACUGAGAAACGGCCCAGACUCCUACGGGAGGCAGCAGUGGGGAAUUUUGGACAAUGGGCGCAAGCCUGAUCCAGCAAUGCCGCGUGCAGGAUGAAGGCCUUCGGGUUGUAAACUGCUUUUGUACGGAACGAAAAGGCUCUGGUUAAUACCUAGGGUUCACGACAGUACCGUAAGAAUAAGCACCGGCUAACUACGUGCCAGCCGCCGCAGUAA
rnacentral:rRNA from 1 species